rnacentral:tRNA from 1 species
CAGAAGAUAGUUUAAUAUAAAAUGCCAGCUUUGGGAGUUGGUGAUAGGGGUUUAAUCCCCUUUUUCUGA